GUUCUGCUGAGGAGUCCCAAACUAGGGCGAAACAGCUGUCCAGUAC
rfam:Trichobilharzia regenti genome assembly, scaffold: TRE_scaffold0065430